rnacentral:rRNA from 1 species
AGUGAACGCUGGCGGUAGGCCUAACACAUGCAAGUCGAACGGCAGCACAGUAAGAGCUUGCUCUUACGGGUGGCGAGUGGCGGACGGGUGAGGAAUACAUCGGAAUCUACUUUUUCGUGGGGGAUAACGUAGGGAAACUUACGCUAAUACCGCAUACGACCUACGGGUGAAAGCAGGGGAUCUUCGGACCUUGCGCGAUUGAAUGAGCCGAUGUCGGAUUAGCUAGUUGGCGGGGUAAAGGCCCACCAAGGCGACGAUCCGUAGCUGGUCUGAGAGGAUGAUCAGCCACACUGGAACUGAGACACGGUCCAGACUCCUACGGGAGGCAGCAGUGGGGAAUAUUGGACAAUGGGCGCAAGCCUGAUCCAGCCAUACCGCGUGGGUGAAGAAGGCCUUCGGGUUGUAAAGCCCUUUUUGUUGGGAAAGAAAAGCAGCAGGUUAAUACCCCGCUGUUCUGACGGUACCCAAAGAAUAAGCACCGGCUAACUUCGU